rnacentral:piRNA from 1 species
UGGUGACAAGAUGUGCCGUAUGAAUCACGUU